CUCCAGAGCAGUCUAGGUGCCGCCGCACCGCUGGAGCCCAGCCCACGCCAGCCGCGGCCGGCCGCCGCCGACAGCCUCAGCAGUUGCCUACCGUCACGCGCAGACACAGCUCUCGCCGCCCCCGGCUGCGGCAGCCGACCAAUUCACUCUCGCCGACCCACCUCGCUCUCUCGGCUGUCCGCCCAGCCCCCGCCGGCCCCACCCCUCCUCCCUCGCGCGCCCCGCCCGCCUCAAACUCCAGCAAACAAGACGCACCAUUCACAACUCCGCGGCCCACGCCGCGCAUGCGCCGCCAGCCAGCCUGCGGGGUGGAUGGGCUGCGGCUAGCCCAGCCAUCUGGAACUUCUGGGCUCACCCGCCGCGGAGAGUAACCCUAGGCUGUCUACUGAAUCCGAAGAAACCCAAGUCCUUGGGGACUUUGUGUCCCCGGAUCGAUGGCGAGGGGUUUAGGUUGUCUUGA
rnacentral:lncRNA from 1 species